AAUGAACGCUGGCGGCAGGCCUAACACAUGCAAGUCGAACGGGUCCUUCGGGACUAGUGGCGGACGGGUGAGUAACGCGUGGGAACGUGCCCCUUGGUACGGAAUAGCCCCGGGAAACUGGGAGUAAUACCGUAUGUGGUCGAGAGACGAAAGAUUUAUCGCCAAGGGAUCGGCCCGCGUUGGAUUAGGUAGUUGGUGGGGUAAUGGCCUACCAAGCCGACGAUCCAUAGCUGGUUUGAGAGGAUGAUCAGCCACACUGGGACUGAGACACGGCCCAGACUCCUACGGGAGGCAGCAGUGGGGAAUCUUAGACAAUGGGGGAAACCCUGAUCUAGCCAUGCCGCGUGAUCGAUGAAGGCCUUAGGGUUGUAAAGAUCUUUCAGGUGGGAAGAUAAUGACUGUACCACCAGA
rnacentral:rRNA from 1 species